CCAUAGGUGGACAAUAGGGAACCGUGUGAAAAUCACGGGCUGACGCGCAACUGUAACGUUCCUGAAAAGCGGGUGCAUGAUGCCAUUGGGGCAGACAGAGCCCUGAGAAGGCGCGCCUGCGGCGGACUGAGCCAGGAGACCUGCCACGGCUGUAU
rnacentral:ncRNA from 1 species